UACGUAGGGGGCAAGCGUUGUCCGGAUUUAUUGGGCGUAAAGAGCGUGUAGGCGGCCAUGCAGGUCCGUUGUGAAAACUGGAGGCUUAACCUCCAGACGUCGAUGGAAACCGUAUGGCUAGAGUCCGGAAGAGGAGAGUGGAAUUCCUGGUGUAGCGGUGAAAUGCGCAGAUAUCAGGAAGAACACCUAUGGCGAAGGCAGCACUCUGGGACGGUACUGACGCUGAGACGCGAAAGCGUGGGGAGCGAACAGG
rnacentral:rRNA from 1 species